rnacentral:rRNA from 1 species
AGUCAAUAGAUACCCUGGUAGUCCAUGCCGUAAACGAUGAUUGCUAGGUGUGGGGGGGUCUGACCCCUUCCGUGCCGGAGUUAAACACAAUAAGCAAUCCACCUGGGGAGUACGGCCGCAAGGUUGAAACUCAAAGGAAUUGACGGGGGCCCGCACAAGCAGUGGAGUAUGUGGUUUAAAUUCGAAGCAACGCGAAGAACCUUACCAGGUCUUGACAUCCACCGAAUCCUGUAGAGAUACGGGAGUGCCCUUCGGGGAACGGUGAGACAGGUGGUGCAUGGUUGUCGUCAGCUCGUGUCGUGAGAUGUUGGGUUAAGUCCCGCAACGAGCGCAACCCUUGUGAAUAGUUGCUACGAAAGAGCACUCUAUUCAGACCGCCGUUGACAAAACGGAGGAAGGUGGGGAUGACGUCAAAUCAUCAUGCCCCUUAUGACCUGGGCUACACACGUACUACAAUGGCCGUUAACAGAGGGAUGCAAUGCCGCGAGGUGGAGCGACCCCUAAAAACGGUCUCAGUUCAGAUUGCAGGCUGAAACUCGCCUGC